rnacentral:lncRNA from 1 species
CCUUUGGAACAUGUGGGACCCCAACCAGGUUCUCCCCAUGGCCUGAAGACCCCAGACCCACAACCACAACCUCCUCCUUUGGAACAUGUGGGACCCCAACCACAUUCUCCCCAUGGUUUGAAGACCCCAACCCAACCCCUACCACAUUCUCCCCAUGGCCUGAAGACCCCAGACCCACAACCACCACCUCCUCCUUUGGAACCUGUGGGACCCCAGCCAGGUUCUCCCCAUGGUUUGAAGCCCCCAUCCCCAUCUCAACCAGGUUCUCCCCAUGGCCUGAAGACCCCAUCCCCACCACAACCUCCUCCUUUGGAACAUGUGGGACCCCAACCAUGUUCUCCCCAUGGACCGGAGACCCCAGACCCACCAUGACCUUCACAACGUCCUGUGAAGGUUGUGGGACCCC